rnacentral:rRNA from 1 species
CCUACGGGUGGCUGCAGUGGGGAAUAUUGCACAAUGGGCGCAAGCCUGAUGCAGCCAUGCCGCGUGUGUGAAGAGGGCCUUCGGGUUGUAAAGCACUUUCAGCGGGGAGGAAGGCGGUGAGGUUAAUAACCUCAUCGAUUGACGUUACCCGCAGAAGAAGCACCGGCUAACUCCGUGCCAGCAGCCGCGGUAAUACGGAGGGUGCAAGCGUUAAUCGGAAUUACUGGGCGUAAAGCGCACGCAGGCGGUCUGUCAAGUCGGAUGUGAAAUCCCCGGGCUCAACCUGGGAACUGCAUUCGAAACUGGCAGGCUAGAGUCUUGUAGAGGGGGGUAGAAUUCCAGGUGUAGCGGUGAAAUGCGUAGAGAUCUGGAGGAAUACCGGUGGCGAAGGCGGCCCCCUGGACAAAGACUGACGCUCAGGUGCGAAAGCGUGGGGAGCAAACAGGAUUAGAUACCCGGGUAGUC